UAGGGAAUCUUCCACAAUGGACGCAAGUCUGAUGGAGCAACGCCGCGUGAGUGAAGAAGGUUUUCGGAUCGUAAAGCUCUGUUGUUGGUGAAGAAGGAUAGAGGCAGUAACUGGUCUUUAUUUGACGGUAAUCAACCAGAAAGUCACGGCUAACUACGUGCCAGCAGCCGCGGUAAUACGUAGGUGGCAAGCGUUGUCCGGAUUUAUUGGGCGUAAAGCGAGCGCAGGCGGAAUGAUAAGUCUGAUGUGAAAGCCCACGGCUCAACCGUGGAACUGCAUCGGAAACUGUCAUUCUUGAGUGCAGAAGAGGAGAGUGGAACUCCAUGUGUAGCGGUGGAAUGCGUAGAUAUAUGGAAGAACACCAGUGGCGAAGGCGGCUCUCUGGUCUGCAACUGACGCUGAGGCUCGAAAGCAUGGGUAGCGAACAGGAUUAGAUACCCUGGUAGUCCAUGCCGUAAACGAUGAGCGCUAGGUGUUGGGGACUUUCCGGUUCUCAGUGCCGCAGCAAACGCAUUAAGCGCUCCGCCUGGGGAGUACGACCGCAAGGUUGAAGC
rnacentral:rRNA from 1 species